UGUUAGGGCCGUACCACCUUGCAAAUAUGUUAUCUUGUCUGAUCUCAGAAGCUAAGCAUCACAGGGUUGGCCCUGGUUUGUACCGGAAUGUGAGACCGCUGGGAAUAUCGGGUGCUCUAGUUG
rnacentral:rRNA from 1 species